UACGUAGGGGGGCGAGCGUUGUCCGGAAUCAUUGGGCGUAAAGCGCGUGUAGGCGGCCCGGUAAGUCCGCUGUGAAAGUCCAGGGCUCAACCCUGGGAUGCCGGUGGAUACUGUCGGGGCUCGAGUCCGGAAGAGGCGAGUGGAAUUCCUGGUGUAGCGGUGAAAUGCGCGAUAUCAGGAGGAAUAGCCGAUGCGAAGGCGG
rnacentral:rRNA from 1 species